rfam:Colletotrichum fioriniae PJ7 Scaffold_900.1, whole genome shotgun sequence.
GCAACCGUGGUGCAGUGGUUUAGCAUUCCAGCCUCCCAUUCAGGGAAUCCAGCUGGGGACCUGGGUUCGAACCCCGGCGGUUGCA